CCUACGGGAGGCAGCAGUGAGGAAUAUUGGUCAAUGGACGAGCGUCUGAACCAGCCAAGUAGCGUGAAGGAUGACUGCCCUAUGGGUUGUAAACUUCUUUUAUAUGGGAAUAAAAUGUUCCACGUGUGGGAUUUUGUAUGUACCAUAUGAAUAAGGACCGGCUAACUCCGUGCCAGCAGCCGCGGUAAUACGGAGGACCCGAGCGUUAUCCGGAUUUAGUGGGUUUAAAGGGCGCGUAGGUGGAUUGGUAAGUCAGUUGUGAAAGUUUGCGGCUCAACCGUAAAAUUGCAGUUGAAACUGGCAGUCUUGAGUACAGUAGAGGUGGGCGGAAUUCGUGGUGUAGCGGUGAAAUGCUUAGAUAUCACGAAGAACUCCGAUUGCGAAGGCAGCUCACUGGACUGCAACUGACACUGAGGCUCGAAAGUGUGGGUAUCAAACAGGAUUAGAUACCCGAGUAGUC
rnacentral:rRNA from 1 species